GAUGAACGCUAGCGGCAGGCUUAAUACAUGCAAGUCGAACGAAGCCUUCGGGCUUAGUGGCGCACGGGUGCGUAACGCGUGGGAAUCUGCCCUUGGGUUCGGAAUAACAGUUAGAAACGACUGCUAAUACCGGAUGAUGUCUUCGGACCAAAGAUUUAUCGCCCAAGGAUGAGCCCGCGUAGGAUUAGGUAGUUGGUGGGGUAAUGGCCCACCAAGCCGACGAUCCUUAGCUGGUCUGAGAGGAUGAUCAGCCACACUGGGACUGAGACACGGCCCAGACUCCUACGGGAGGCAGCAGUGGGGAAUAUUGGACAAUGGGCGAAAGCCUGAUCCAGCAAUGCCGCGUGAGUGAUGAAGGCCUUAGGGUUGUAAAGCUCUUUUACCAGGGAUGAUAAUGACAGUACCUGGAGAAUAAGCUCCGGCUAACUCCGUGCCAGCAGCCGCGGUAA
rnacentral:rRNA from 1 species